rnacentral:tRNA from 1 species
CAAAUUAUAGCUUAAAGAAAGUUUUUUAUUUACAUUAAAAAGUUCAUUGUGCAAUUCAGUGUGAUUUGA